CCACAGGGAACCUUCCAGAAGGCGUGGCCACCUGGUUUCUGUGCUGUUGUCAAGGCGGAUGGGGGGGAGGGGGCAGGUGACGCCCCAGGGCUAGCGACAGGGCCUCUGGGAAGCUCUGGAAAGGGCCACCUGCUGACAGUGAUCAGGGUGGGGGCAGGGGGAUGGGAGAGGGAACCAGAGACGUUUAGUCACACGCAUCCUCGGUUUUGUGGAAGGAAAGUGGAGAAAAGGUGCAGUGUUGCAGGGAGAUGAGGGUCCGGGGAGGCCCUGCCGUGAGGUUGGAGGGGUCAUGACGUGUCACAAUGAUCCACCAGAGGAUGCAGAGAAGGGGCUGGGGCUUCAGGGAAGCAGGAAGAACAAAGGCCCGGGUCGGGUGGUCCUCAGAGAGACACGGAGGAAAGGGGUGAGCACGCAGGUGAACCGGAGGGAGCGGCCAGCGGCAAAGUCGUUAGUGGCAUAAAGUGUCACUAACACGUGAAAGAAUGACCAGAGGAGAGAGACUCAUUCCACUCGACCAACCCAAACACCUGUGGAUCAGGUUAGGUGCUUCUCAUCCCUUGGUUCUGCAAGGAGGUUCUAGAAUCUCUCAAAACAGAAUCGGGAGCAUCGCAGGGCUCCAGGAAAAUCUGCUGGGCCUACAGACUGUACCAAGCUCGCAGACGUGUGGGCUAAUUGAUCAUCGUGAUCCGCCAAGUCGAGCUUAUGUGAAGAGGUGUCCGUUCAUUGUCAGCCCCUAAAGCACGGAAAAGUCGGCCACUUGCUCGGAAUCGGUUCCUCGGAGCAGGACAGCUUGGCAAGAGGCUUCAUAUCCCACCCGUGCGAAAGGAAGGGGAGGCGAGGGAGAGGACUUUUCCCUUUAGAUAACCACAAACAAUCUCCAAAUAACCCCUCCGUUUCAGGGAGCGACGCAUCUCUGUUUGCCAACCUGUGUUUGAACAGUCGGAAUCACUACCUGAGCAGGCCCGUGGGUCCAUGCCCUCGGCUGUGUGCAUCUGAUUCGGAGUGAGCUUGAGUUGUCACCGUGGGGCCACAGGCCAGCGUCCAAGAAAUGACAUUUGGAGCGAAGACGAAUGAUCCCCAGAGCAGACAUUUGCGAUGGUUAUGAUAAGGUCCCGGAACCUUACCUCCCUCGAGGAGGCCAGAAAUAUUUGUGUAAAACCAGAUCAAAUAAAAGGCCUCUCCCUGGUCCCUCA
rnacentral:lncRNA from 1 species